AGCGAAAAUGCAAAUAGAUGACAAAUCCCAACUUAUUCCUUUGGCCAUUUCUGUAACCAAAGCUAUUGGCUGGCCAACACAAAGGAGCUGAAAUUUCAUAGCGACAAAAAUAGGUGCUGGAGGUACCAUGCAAGCAAGCAUGGCGACCACGAUCAUGCUGCAGUGGCUGGGUUAUAUCCCCUCCCGCUAGCUGAGGAUGGGCUCGAUGAUGGUGCUCCUACCCUUACACAUGUAUAUUCCCACAUUGAACUCGAUUAUUGCAAUGAUUGGGUUGAUUUGGACAUACUGUGCCUUGAAUGACUUUUCCCGUUGGGCAAUUCAAAUGAUGGAAGCCUCUUCGGACCCUUCCACCUCUCCGGCCUCACCACUGGAGACUCGGAUGCGAGAACCGCCACCGCCGCCGCCGUGUCUGUCGGUGACGCUCACACAAGAAUCCAGAGGCAGUACCUUGGUCCUCUCCCUGAGAACAACAGCUCUCUCAUGAUGCGGUCGCGGCCCGAGGGUGGCGGGACUGACGCCACCGUCCAUGCCAUGUUCUGGCUGAUCCCCAAGGCUCCUUGCCGAUGUCCAACCAGCGCCACACAGCCAAUGGUACUGCUGACAUGAGGACGCCCACCCUCGAGCUUUUUGACCUGAGCCUGAUGGACAAGGUCAUACGGGCAUCUGAUUUUGAUUUGCUAUGUGCUCUCUUUUCACAAGUGUAGCUUUUUGUGUUAUAAAACUAUGCUACCGAUUGUUCUUUGUUGAUAUUUCCCUACUUGUGUCCUGAUUAAUGGAUCUGAGGUAGUUAGAAGUCACUGAAUAACUACUUAUA